UCGGCAUUCAUUUACACAAAUUAAGUCGAAUGAUCAAAUUCUAUAUUUAUUUUAUUAUAGAUUAUAAUGUUAUUGAUGACUGGAUUUUCAACGAUUAUGCAGAUGAAAAAUCAUCCUAUUAUUUUAACAAUGGUUGAAAAUACACAAAUGUUUCACAAAAACUGGGUUGUCCAAUGAUCUCAUACAAUACGAUCGAAAACUUACAUUACUUUCACAAGCGUUCAUAGUUAAACACCAUCUAUUACACAAAAAAAGUUGGAUUAUAAUUGUAUUUACUUUAUUCAUAUACUAUGUUGGUUCUUUGAUCAUACAGAUAUACAUUUGGAAACCACAACAACUUAACUAUACUUCUAUCUUUAUAUACUUCUAUAAUUUGCCUUAUAUUACGGACUAUGUGCUUAUAAUUUUAACUUAUUUUCAUCUCAAUAACAUAGGAAAUAGAUUUCAGGCGUUGAAUGAUUUCUGGAAGUGCCUUUCUACUGAAUUAAUACCCAUUCGUGAUGAAUGGACACAUUCGGAAAUAGCAAUGCUAGUGGAAAGCAUUAGAUUAUUGCACGCGGAACUAUGUACAAUAUUAAAAUUAUUCAAUUCUAGUUAUGGUCCAUUACUUUUAGCAUUCUUUGUAUGCAAUUUCUUAGAUUUUUCAUACAUAAUAUAUAUAAUGAUUUAUCAUGAGGUGGAUUCAUCAAAAAUCAGUUUAAGCCAAAGUAUUAUGUACUAUAUUCCAACACAUUUGGUUAACUUUCAAAUUAUAGUUUUUUGUACGUCUAUAAUUAUUGUUGCAUCUGGGAUAACUGAUAAGGUACUUUUUUUUAAAUAAGCCACCAUUUCAUUAUUAUUUGUAUAAUACAUAGCUAUAGUAUUAUCAUAUUAUUGUGCGUUGUAGGUUUUAAUAUUUUUAUUUGAAAUUUCAGAAAAAUAAAAUUAUAUCAUUAUUAAGAUUGAUCCGGAUUUCAAAGUUACCCCUAGACUUAAAAAUUCAAAUUAAAAUGUUUAUGAACCAAAUACCAGUAUCAGAAAGGAACUACGUAAAUACAUGGGGAUUUUUCAAUAUCAAUUUGAAUCUAGUCAUAACAAUCCUGAUACUACUUAUAACAGUAUUUUCAACAUUGCUACAAAUGAAAAAACAUCCAAUUAUUUCAAAUAUGGUCAAUCACACUGAUAGGUUUCACAAAAAUUGGUAAAAUGUAAGCUUCAAAUCCAGAACUCAGCUAUACAUACAACAUCAUGAGUUUUAUUGUAACUAAAACUUUUAAAUGUUAUUUCUAACAUUUGAAAAAACAAUGAAAUUAUAAAUAAAGGUAAAAUUAUUU